UGGGAUGUAGCUCAGUGGCAGAGCGCCUGCCUAGUGAGUAUAACGUCCUGGGUUCAAUCCCCAGCACCAA
rnacentral:tRNA from 1 species